CCGGGCUCCGGAGACUCGAAAGCCGCCGCCCAGCACGCUGCUCCUGGCACCUGAAGACCAGCUCCGGGCUGGGCGGGCAACCACAGAGUGACUUGUGACGAUGCCAGGCAGAGAGCGAAGUGAGUAGUCAAAGAAAACUCACCCUGGACAAACCGGCUGCUGGCAUCUCAGCUGCCGGGGUGGGAAGCGCCCUCUGCGGGAAUGAAGUCAUCCUACCCUUUUCUGGGUGCGCCCAGAUAACCGACCAGAGCGUUCCUUUCCCAAGCUCUGGGGCCUGAGGACUUCCAGCUACUCCACCAGGUUCUCAGGUCCUGGACUCCGUCCUAAUUCCUCACCUCCUACUGCGAGCCUUGCACAGGACGAGAGAAGGUACUAGUCCAAACCAGUUCAGUAUCCAAGACCCCAAAACUGCGUCAGCCUAUUUCUUGGCCUUUUUUUUUUUUUUUUUCCGGAGCUGGGGACCGAACCCAGGGCCUUGCGCAUGCUAGGCAAGCACUUUACCACUGAGCUAAAUACCCAACCCCUUUCUUGGCCUUCUUGAUGGUUCUUUGGCCAUUAAUGUAGUUCAUGAUUAAACACGAUCCACAGACACUGAAAAUAUCAAGGCUGGCCUCAGGCUGGGAACUCACGAUAGUUCAAAUGAAUAUUGAUCGAUUCCCAGGCAAAAGAGUAACAAGCAUUAUGUGUGAGUGUGUGUGUCCUUUCCCUUUUUAUUUCAUUGCUUAUUAUGUUUUGUGUUUUGAGACAAGCUCUCUCUAGGCCUAGCUGUCCUUGAACUCACUCAGUACACCAGGCUGUCCUCCACCUCACAGAGAACUGCAUAGGUCACCGAGCCAGCUAGCUCCCUUUCCCCUUCUUUAGUCUGAGAUUGAUCUCUUCCAACCCUGCAAGCCUGCAAGCCUCACACUGUAGGAAGUAUGUGCUGAAAGACCAGUCCCUUUCUGAUGCCUUUCUGUGAUCCCGAUACCUCAGAAACUGAGGCAAGGAAUUUCCUUUAGCCCAGGAAUUUGAAGCCAGCCUUGCCAACACGUUGAGAUUUCCAAGAAGAAAAAAGCCACUUUGGACGAGUCAAGCCCAGUGGCCCACCCUCCUCCCUCUGGCUUUUGAUCUCCAGCUUCGUUCUGACCCACAGGCCUUCCUUUGGCUUCUCUGGCCCUCCCUGGUGACCCUUCUUUUCCUCUGAGUGCAGUCACAAGGCUCUUCAACCCUUGAUCGUCCAUUGUCUAUUAUCAUCCCCUGGGGAUUGAGUCUGACUUCAAUCUGGAUGCCUUUUUGAAAGAAAAGCAGUAAAACCGAACACACAUGGCCUUGGGUUUCCAUCCUUGGAAGGGGACAAGAAAAAUGAGGGUCAAUUGUUUUCAGUAUGUCAGCAACUUAGAUCCACAUCAGUCUGACGGUGAUAGAACUCCAGAUUCAAUGCCUGGAAGUCAGUCACUCUCCCUCAAACCAUCCCUCUUCCCUCUUUCCCUAAUGGCUGGCUUGGGAGGUUGAAGUCCCACGCCACCAUACUAACUCUAGGGCAAGGUGGUCUGCAUUGCCCAUCUGCACUGACCACAUGUGGGACACCGCAUGUCUUCCUAUCAAUCACCCAGCAACCUUCCAUUUUGAUUUCCACCUAAGGGAAGUGUAACUGGACACCUGUGUCCCAAAGCUUAGACUUCUUCCUGCUCUUCACCAAAUUCAUUCACCCAGAAACUGCUGUGGGGUAACUACACAAACAGGUCGAUCUUAAGGCUUUCCACAUCGGCCUGUGUACUUCUGUGGGUCGUGUGUGCAUAGAUGUGGCCUUCAGAUGAUGCAGGGGCACCCUGCAUCGUCCCCUGCCAUCUAGGCUUCCCCUUCCUAUAAGCAGCUUUGUGUGAAGCCCCUCGGGAUAGAUCUUGUUUAUUAAGACUUGAUUUCCUUUUGCACAGUAGAUGGUUUGAAGAGCUCUCCCGUCUGGGAAGCAAUAUAUGCAUAUGCUGUCCACACCUCCCCUAGGUUUGCCGUGACAGCAAAGAGCUUUGUUUCAUCUACAGUAGGAAAAUGUGCCAACCAGCCUGCGGGAGAGGCUCAGGAGGCUCCUGAAGCAGUGUGCCUGAAGGCAGCCGGGGGACCACAUUCGUGGCUGCAAGAUACACCUGAUGGGGCCACUUGCUCUUGGUCUGAAGCUGCAGAAGGAAAGAAAUGGCCAAUUCUGCAGUUAAAUCGUCCGGCAGAUAAAGGAAAGGCUGACAAAUCUACCUAGCAGCUGCCACUGCUAAGAGAGAAUGGCGCACCAUUUCCUCUAAAGAGUAGAAAUCACACAACAAACAGGGCCUGCAGAUUGUGGUUAUCAGUCUGGAUGCGAACUUGACCUAACACUGGAAAAAUGCAAAUGUCAGUCAUAACAUUCCAUACAAGUUCUGUGAGGUUCACCCCCAUUUUUGUUCCAAUUAUUCAUAAAGCAUGUGGCGAAGCAUGUGGCGCG
rnacentral:sRNA from 1 species